rnacentral:rRNA from 1 species
UACAGAGGUCCCGAGCGUUGUUCGGAUUUAUUGGGCGUAAAGGGUGCGUAGGCGGUGGAGUAAGUUGGGUGUGAAAUCCCGGGGCUUAACCUCGGAAUGGCAUUCAAUACUGCUUCGCUAGAGUACUGGAGAGGAGGCUGGAAUUUACGGUGUGAGCAGUGAAGUGCGUAGAUAUCGAGAGGAACACCAGUGGCGAAGGCGAGUCUCUGGGACGACUCCUGACACUGAGGCACGAAAGCUAGGGGAGCAACAGG